AACGCGAAGAACCUUACCUGGGCUCGAAAUGUACAGGAAUCCGGUGGAAACAUCGGCGCCCCGCAAGGGGCCUGUAUAUAGGUGCUGCAUGGCUGUCGUCAGCUCGUGUCGUGAGAUGUUGGGUUAAGUCCCGCAACGAGCGCAACCCUCGUCCUAUGUUGCCAGCGGGUCAUGCCGGGGACUCAUGGGAGACUGCCGGGGUCAACUCGGAGGAAGGUGGGGAUGACGUCAAGUCAUCAUGCCCCUUAUGUCUUGGGCUGCAAACAUGCUACAAUGGCCGGUACAGAGGGCUGCGAACUCGCGAGAGUAAGCGAAUCCCGGAAAGCCGGUCUCAGUUCGGAUCGGGGUCUGCAACUCGGCCCCGUGAAGCUGGAGUCGCUAGUAAUCGCGGAUCAGCAACGCCGCGGUGAAUACGUUCCCGGGCCUUGUACACACCGCAUAC
rnacentral:rRNA from 1 species